AGGGAAACUGGGACCUGGUAGAAUCCAUUGAAGGGUUUAGGUAAACUGGGACCUAGAAGAAUCCAUUGAAGGGUGUAGGUGAACUAGGACCUGGUAGAAUCCAUUGAAGGGUUUAGGUAAACUGGGACCUAGAAGAAUCCAUUGAAGGGUGUAGGUGAACUGUCUGGGACCUGGUAGAAUCCAUUGAAGGGUUUAGGUAAACUGGGACCUAGAAGAAUCCAUUGAAGGGUUUAGGUAAACUGGGACCUAGAAGAAUCCAUUGAAGGGUUUAGGUAAACUGGGACCUAGAAGAAUCCAUUGAAGGGUGUAGGUGAACUGUCUGGGACCUGGUAGAAUCCAUUGAAGGGUUUAGGUAAACUGGGACCUAGAAGAAUCCAUUGAAGGGUUUAGGUAAACUGGGACCUGGAAGAAUCCAUUGAAGGGUUUAGGUAAACUGGGACCUAGAAGAAUCCAUUGAAGGGUGUAGGUGAACUGUCUGGGACCUGGUAGAAUCCAUUGAAGGGUUUAGGUAAACUGGGACCUAGAAGAAUCUAUUGAAGGGUGUAGGUAAACUGGGACCUGGUAGAAUCCAUUGAAGGGUUUAGGUAAACUGGGACCUAGAAGAAUCCAUUGAAGGGUUUAGGGAAACUGGGACCUAGAAGAAUCCAUUGAAGGGUGUAGGUGAACUGUCUGGGACCUGGUAGAAUCCAUUGAAGGGUUUAGGUAAACUGGGACCUAGAAGAAUCCAUUGAAGUGUUUAGGUAAACUGGGACCUAGAAGAAUCCAUUGAAGGGUUUAGGUAAACUGGGACCUAGAAGAAUCCAUUGAAGGGUGUAGGUGAACUGGGACCUGGUAGAAUCCAUUGAAGGGUUUAGGUGAACUGGGACCUAGAAGAAUCCAUUGAAGGGUUUAGGUGAACUGGGACCUAGAAGAAUCCAUUGAAGGGUGUAGGAAAACUGGGACCUAGAAGAAUCCAUUGAAGGGUUUAGGUGAACUGGGACCUGGUAGAAUCCAUUGAAGGGUUUAGGUAAACUGGGACCUGGUAGAAUCCAUUGAAGGGUGUAGGUAAACUGGGACCUAGAAGAAUCCAUUGAAGGGUUUAGGUAAACUGGGACCUAGAAGAAUCCAUUGAAGGGUGUAGGUGAACUGUCUGGGACCUGGUAGAAUCCAUUGAAGGGUUUAGGUAAACUGGGACCUAGAAGAAUCCAUUGAAGGGUGUAGGUAAACUGGGACCUGG